rnacentral:lncRNA from 1 species
UACUGCAUAGUGAGUUCUGGGCUAACCAAGGCUACAUACUGAGACUCUCUUUAAAAGAAGGAAUUUGCUGGCUUCUGUGAUUAUAAAAACCAGAGAUACAGUCAUUUUGAAACAUACUGAUUAUAUACAGGUUCACUGGCAUAGGGAAUGUCUCCCAUUUUCCCUACUGUCUGCUCUGGCUGCAGGCCAUGGUUUUGACACUCACAUCAUUCUCUGACCUUGAAACACAACACAAUUGUAAAUGCAAAUACAGAUUAAGUACCCCUGAUCCAGAAGUUGAAAAUCCAAAAUGUUCCAAAGUCUAAAACUUUUCAAACAUCAAGUGUGAUGCCAUAAGUUAACAAUUCUAUACCAGCACUCAUGUGAUGAGUCACACUCAAAACACACAAAAACAAAUCUUAGUGUCUAAAAUGACCUUCAAGUAAUAUAACAUAAAUGAAUCUUGUAUUUAGAUUUGGGUUGAGUUCUAGGAAAUCUUAUGUGCAGAUAUAAAUAUUUUUAAAACCAAACAUCCGAGACAUUCCAUUUUGCAGGCAUUCUGGAUAAUGAAUAAUCAAUGUGGGUUCCUCUGUGGAUCUCUCUGGGUUACCUGAACAUUUUUUAGGGGGACACAAGCAAGAGUGAGCCUGCAAUGCAUGUUUACCUCCUCUGGAUUAAGGAUGAAAAGCAGCCACAUAGAUGGAGGGUAUUCUGAAGAGAUGCUAAAACAAAAGUCUGUAAAACACCUAUUCUGUCUGGUUGUUUGUUUGUUUGUUUGUUUGUUUGUUUUUUGUUUUUUAAAUACUGUAUGGUUUUGUCUAAGAGUUAAUAUCAUUUAUCUUAAAAAGCAAGAAUUCCACAUGUAUGACAUCCACAGUGUGCUAAGCCCCAAGCCAUUGUGUUAGCCUUGUCAUCUAUAACACUUGUCAUUUAUAACACACUCAGACUUUCCAUUCCAUAAAGAACGAGAAACAAGAACAAUGGCUAGCAUCUUCUCUCACAUCCCUUAUACUCCCUAGUGAUGCUGGCCUCAGGAAUGAGCACUACAGAAGGCUAGAAGAGUCUUUUUUUUUUUUUUCCUUCACAAUUACCAGAAAACCUUUAUUCCCUUUACUGCUAAGAAUAUAAACAAAUGUUAGGAGUCCUCACAGAGGCAGAACUUCAGCAAACACUCUAUCGAUUGUGCCUGAAGAAAUACAACCUGAAUGGCACCCACAACAGAUUUAUUUAAAAGCAAGAAUAUAUAUUCCAUAGACCAUCUCUAAAAUAGCCUGUUUUGGUGCUGUUAAGAGAAAUAAUUUCAAAUGCACAUAACAAAAUGCUCUGAGAUAGGCACCAGAGGCCACAGGAAAAGUCUUAUACAUGUAACUAUCCAGAACCAUGGGAAAAUGUCAACCUUAUUUCCUGUACUCUGCUGGAUUUAUCAUCCUUGCCUUUAUUUCAGUUUGCUUUGUAAAAACACAUAACCAAUCUUCAAAGAUAAGUGAUAUAAAUUAGGUUGACUCUAUUGAUCUAAAAAGGUGACUCCCUGGGGUUUCUGAAGGUCUUGGCUUUGGUCCUUAUUUAUAUACAAACCAAGAAUGUAUAAAGUCACUGUUAUGGCUGUUGCCUGUCUCUAAAACUCAUGUGUCUAAGACAUGGCCCUCCAGACCUAUCAGAAUCACACCAGACUUCUCACCAGAGACUAUGAAAGCUAGAAGAUCCUGGGCAGAUGUCAUGCAGACCCUAAGAGAACACAAAUGCCAGCCCAGGCUACCAUACCCAGCACAACUCUCAAUUAUCAUAGAUGGAGAAAACAAGAUAUUCCAUGACAAAACCAAAUUUACACAGUAUCUUUUCUCAAAUCCAGCCCUACAAAGGAUAAUGGAAAACACCAACACAAGAAGGGAAACUAUACCCUAGAAAAAGCAAGAAAAUAAUCUUACAACAAACCCCAAAGAAGAUAGACACACAAGCAUAAUUCCACUUCUAACAACAAACAUAACAGGGAAUAACAAUCACUUUUCUUUAAUAUCUCUUAACAUCAAUGGACUCAACUCCUGAAUAAAAAGACAAAGAUAAAUAAUCAGGACCCAGCAUUUUGCUACAUAUAGAAAACUCACCUCAGUGACAAAGACAGACACUACCUCAGAGUGAAAGGUUGGAAAACAAUUUUCCAAGCAAAUGGUCCCAAGAAACAAGUUAGAGUAGCCAUUCUAAUAUCAAACAAAAUCGACUCAAUAGAAACAGAUGUAUAAAAGUUGGGGUCAUAGACAGAUGCACUUAGCACUUAUAAUGAGCAGAAUGUAUAGAAAUAAACACUUAUCUAGGACUAAUUGGCUAUUCUGGGUCUUUUGUUGUUCCACAUCAAUUUAAGGAUUUUCUUUCUAUUUAUGUAAAGAAUGAGAUGGGGAUGUUGAUUGUGAUUUCAUUGAAUCAGUAAAUUGUUUUGGUAGGAUAGUCUUUUUUUACAAUGUUAAUUCUACCAAGCUAUACGCUUGGGAUGUCUUCAAAUUCUAGUGUUUCUUAAUCUCUUUCUUCACACAAAGUUUUCAUUGUAGAGGUUUUUUACCUCUUUCAUUAGGUAUAUUCUAAAUAUUUUAUUUGAUUUGAGAAACUGGGAAGAGAAGUGUACCCAUGAUCUCUUUCUCAGAAUGCUUGUUACUCAUAUGUAUUAAGACUGGUAAAUUUUGUAAGUCAAUCAUAUAUCAUAACACUUUGCUGAAAUUAUUGAUAAUUUCUAUAAUUUUUCUAGUCAAAUUUUGGCAACAUUGGGUAUAAGAUAAUAUAAUCUUCAAUCGAAAAUAAUUUAACUUAAUAUUUUCCCAUUUGUAUCCCUUCUCUUGCCUUAUUGCUCCAGCUAAUGCUUCAAUCACAUUAUGGAUGAGCAGUAGGGAUAGUGGGCAGUCCUCUCCCAUUCCUGAUUUUAAUGGGGCUUAUUAGUGGUUUUAUUCAUUAAGGAUGAUAUUGGCCAUGGGUUUGUCAUACAUAACCUUUACUAUGUCCAUGUAUUUGGUUUAUUACAUUUAUUUUUAUAUAUGUUAAAAAAAUAAAAUCAAU